UACGUAUGGAGCAAGCGUUAUCCGGAUUUACUGGGUGUAAAGGGAGCGCAGGCGGCUUUGCAAGUCUGAUGUGAAAGGCCGGGGCUCAACCCCGGGACUGCAUUGGAAACUGUAAAGCUAGAGUGCCGGGGAGGUAAGCGGAAUUCCUAGUGUAGCGGUGAAAUGCGUAGAUAUUAGGAGGAACACCAGUGGCGAAGGCGGCUUACUGGACGGCAACUGACGCUGAGGCUCGAAAGCGUGGGGAGCAAACAGG
rnacentral:rRNA from 1 species